rnacentral:lncRNA from 1 species
UGGCCCAUUGCCUCCGGCGUGCUGCAAUGGUGUUAAGAACCUCAAAAACUCUGCCGCCACCACACAAGACCGCAGGACCGCUUGCAAGUGCUUGAUAAAUGCUUCUAAAUCCAUCUCUGGUGUGAACUUUGGUCUGGCUGCUGGCCUCCCUGGCAAAUGUGGUGUCAACAUUCCUUACAAGAUUAGCCCCUCCACCAACUGCGACCAGUAUCUACCCUCUCUCUCUAUUUCCUUCUCUCCUUAUCUCAUAAGGAAUUAACAUGAAAUUUUACAUAUUUUCUAACUCGUGGUGUUUGUUGUUGCAGAGUGAAUUGAGGUGACUGGAGGAGCGAGGAACCUGUUUAGCAGCAUGAAAAUAAAGCGGACGUUGAGUCCAGUGCUCGGGACUUCACUCCAGCAAGUGACCUGUAGUAUUUGUAGUAAUGUGUGUCCGUGUCCCAUUCUACUUGUUUGCCAUCUAUCUAUCUGCUUGAGUGAGUGAGCGAGUGAGUGCCUAUCCAUGUAAUAAUUAUCCUUACGGGAACCAUGCUGGUCUACUUUUUUCUAUACCACUACUACUCUCUCUCUCUCUCUCUCUCUCUCUCUCUGAACUAAGGGGUACCCUAUAAUUAUCCUUACGGGAACCAUGCUUGUCUACUUUUUUCUAUACUACUCCUCUCUCUCUCUCUCUCUCUCUCUCUGAACUAAGGGGUACCCUACAAUGAAAUGAAAAGGGUUCCACUGCUAGGUAAGCGGCACAUGGGUGGGUGAGACAUGUGAAGAGAAGGGCACACACUCAUGCCAAUUGAACAUUAAUGGCUGGGAGUUGGGGCAGACAAAUCAUAUUUUCACAUAGGGCCACUUUCUAAAAGGAAAAAACUGGAGCUCAGCCCCAUUCUUCCGUAAGUAAUUGAAGUUUAUGUUACUGUAACAAUGCCCAACCACAUAGAUGACCAAACCCCAAUCGUUUCAAAAUCUUAGGGUUGUUUGUUAGCAGAAAAUAGAUUUUUUUUCUUUUCUUUUCUUUUUCCCAUAACAGAAAAUCGAAGAUGGAAUGUGAGUAAAAAGAAGACAUUAUUUCAUUUCCAAAAAUGAACAUAUUUUUGAAAUAUGACUAAUUGUUAAACACUCCCUUGUGACUCAUGUAUUUUCUUGGCCGUUCCAUUAAUAGUACACUAAUUUAAAAAAAUUAUGCUUAAAUUAUUAUAGUAGAAGAAGUUAUUACAAAUAUAUGAUAGUUUUUGUCAUAUAGAAGAUAGGAAAGAGGAGAGAGGAGAGAGGGUGAACGGAUAAUUUUUUUUAAAACCAAAAUCAUCUUUUCAAAUUUCAAAAGAUGAAAUCGUCUCUUCAAGAUACGAGUUUUCAUGAAAAAAUAUAUAUAUAUAAUUUUUUUUAAAAAUUC